rnacentral:rRNA from 1 species
GGUGAGUAAUGCGUAGGAACCUGCCCGAUAGAGGGGGAUACCAGUUGGAAACGACUGUUAAUACCGCAUAAUGUCUACGGACCAAAGUGUGGGACCUUCGGGCCACAUGCUAUCGGAUGCGCCAACUGA